rnacentral:rRNA from 1 species
AGUGAACGCUGGCGGUAGGCCUAACCCAUGCAAGUCGAACGGCAGCACAGUAAGAGCUUGCUCUUACGGGUGGCGAGUGGCGGACGGGUGCGGAAUACAUCGGAAUCUACUUUUUCGUGGGGGCUAACGUAGGGAAACUUCCGCUAAUACCGCAUACGCCCUACGGGUGAAAGCAGGGGAUCUUCGGACCUUGCGCGAUUGAAUGAGCCGAUGUCGGAUUAGCUAGUUGGCGGGGUAAAGGCCCACCAAGGCGACGAUCCGUCGCUGGUCUGAGAGGAUGAUCAGCCACACUGGAACUGAGACACGGUCCAGACUCCUACGGGAGGCAGCAGUGGGGAAUAUUGGACAAUGGGCGCAAGCCUGAUCCAGCCAUACCGCGUGGGUGAAGAAGGCCUUCGGGUUGUAAAGCCCUUUUGUUGGGAAAGAAAAGCAGCAGGUUAAUACCCCGCUGUUCUGACGGUACCCAAAGAAUAAGCACCGGCUAACUUCGUG